rnacentral:rRNA from 1 species
GACGAACGCUGGCGGCGUGGAUUAGGCAUGCAAGUCGAACGGUAUGGACCUUUCGGGGUUCAGAGAGUGGCGAACGGGUGAGUAACACGUAGGUAAUCUACCCUCAAGACGGGGACAACCCAGGGAAACUUGGGCUAAUACCGGAUGUGUGUAGUGGCUAUUUUUCUGAUUAUCAUUAUUUACGUAAGUGAGUAAUAAUAAGAAGGGAAAGUGGUUAUUACAUAAAAGGUGGCGUAAGCUGCCGCUUGGGGAUGAGCCUGCGUCCUAUUAGUUAGUUGGUGAGGUAACGGCUUACCAAGGCGAUGAUAGGUAGGCGGCCUUAACGGGUGGUCGCCCACACUGGGGAUUGAGAUACGGCCCAGACUCCUACGGGAGGCAGCAGUCGAGAAUAGUCUACAAUGGACGGAAGUCUGAUAGUGCGACGCCGCGUGAACGAAGAAUCCUUCGGGUGUAAAGUUCUUUUAUACGUGAGCAGUGUCCUUUAUAUUAAUAGUAUAAGGGGAGAGAUAUUAGCGUAUGAAUAAGCAACGGCUAA